CAUGUUUGCUUAUGAUCGAUGUAGAAGUGAGACCUAAAUAUCUGCCCCACGAACACCCUGGGAAAGCAUACCCUUUCACUCAGCAACGUACCCAGCCCGCCGCGAGCAACGACGGAAAGCGAAACCCGUUGACAAAGUUUCGAGCCCUCUUCUGUUGUCUUCUUUCACACACUCUUCUCAACAUUUUGACACGAAGUCUUGUUGACCAUCGACUGACAACGAUCCUUUUUCUCUUCGCCCUCUUUGACGAACAGCAUUAGACGCUCUCGGAGGAGCUCUCUGAAAUGUGGUGGUCGUCUUGCUAAAGUUUGUCGUCGAAGGCAGCAUUUGCAGCAUCUACUUAGUUAGCACUGCUGACGUGGUUGAGGUAACCCCAGAAACUCAAUGAUGCAUUACAUUUUGUUUAAGUCAAAUAAAAACUAGGGUUUCUUUUUCUGUAUUUGUUUCAAUUGGGCUAAAAUCUGCCAAAUGUUGAGCCAUAGCAGAGUCAUGCUGUUGAUUCUAAUUAAGAAUCAAGUGUUGUUGCACAUAAGUGUCUGAAAUGUGUAAAAUGUCCUCUAGGAGAGGCAUACCAGCCAAAGAUCCUAAGGCUGCAGAUUUGCUAUGCUCCUCCAUAGUUGUUACUGAUUCCUUGAGUGAUGUGAGAGUUCGUAAUGCUAUGAUCUUCUUGAUCUCUAUGGCCAUCCACACCCAGUUCCACUUGCUCCAUGUCCUCCAAACGCUUGGCAGCACCACCAAUUGGAAAAGUGGUGCUCUCAAGAAUGCUCUUAACGUCAUAUCUGCUCAUGUCAAAGUUUGUAACUGCACUCAGUCCUCGGAAUUUUAUGGCUGCAACAUCAUAUGCCUCUGCUGCCUCCUCUUGAGUGCCAGAAAAAUUAAUUAUUAGCGAAAGAGCUAACAAGUGCAAAGGCCUUGAUUGAUGGUAAAUUGGUUUGUAUAGGAAGCUUUUAUUGAAGCUGCUACUGAAGUAAUCUGUUCACGAAGUUCAUCCCAGCUACAAUAUUUAAGACAAAUAUAUCACGAAGUUUUGCUUUGGUUUCACUGUUGCUUGAGGUCCUUGCUGUAGCACUUUUAAAAGGAAGUGUGCAGAGGGUGAUACUUCUCUUGUUGACAGCCAUUAGUCAACACAUAUGUAGUUUGUCAUAUCUUCUUAGUAAGAUGGAGUCACAGUGUCAUGUUUCUAGCAAUUGGGUCAAUCUCCAAGAUUACACCAAUGUUUUUGACAACAUACUUCUACAUUGCGUCCAUGAGGAAGGGGUUCUUAAGCACGGAUUAUCCUUCAAUUUCUACAUGUAUGUGUUGUUGCAAUGGGGUAACGUCCACAUGGAAUGGCAUGUGUUGUUGAUACCCCUUUUUCCUUCUUCAGAUUUCCUUGUCAUUCAUGUUGUCUCUAAGGAGGGAUAGGAAAAAGACAUUGUUAUUUUCAACUUUCCUCAUAUAAAUGAAAGAGAUGUCAAAGUGAAAGAAAAUGAGAAGCUUUGUUAGUUUAUUCGAUGUUGACUAGAACUAAGAAAAUGAUUUUGAAAUCUGAAUAAUUUUUUUUUGUGA